rnacentral:rRNA from 1 species
UACAGAGGUCUCAAGCGUUGUUCGGAUUCAUUGGGCGUAAAGGGCGCGUAGGCGGCCUUCUAAGUCAGACGUGAAAUCCCUCGGCUCAACCGAGGAACUGCGUCUGAUACUGGAAGGCUUGAAUCCGGGAGAGGGAUGUGGAAUUCCAGGUGUAGCGGUGAAAUGCGUAGAUAUCUGGAGGAACACCGGUGGCGAAGGCGGCAUCCUGGACCGGUAUUGACGCUGAGGCGCGAAAGCUAGGGGAGCAAACGGG